rnacentral:rRNA from 1 species
GCUUAACACAUGCAAGUCGAACGGUAACAGAAAAAGCUUGCUUUUUGCUGACGAGUGGCGAACGGGUGCGUAACGCGUAUGCAACCUACCUUCUUCUAAGGAAUAGCCCAGAGAAAUUUGGAUUAAUACCUUAUGAUAAUAUUUAUUCGCAUGUUUAAAUAUUUAAAACUCCGGUGGAAGAAGAUGGGCAUGCGUAACAUUAGUUUGUUGGUGAGGUAAUGGCUCACCAAGACUACGAUGUUUAGGGGUUCUGAGAGGAUGAUCCCCCACACUGGUACUGAGACACGGACCAGACUCCUACGGGAGGCAGCAGUGAGGAAUAUUGGUCAAUGGACGAAAGUCUGAACCAGCCAUGCCGCGUGAAGGAUGACGGCCCUACGGGUUGUAAACUUCUUUUGUAUAGGAAGAAACCCCUCUACGUGUAGAGGGCUGACGGUACUAUUCGAAUA